UACGGGGGGGGCAAGCGUUUGUUCGGAAUUACUGGGCGUAAAGGGCUCGUAGGCGGCCAACUAAGUCAGACGUGAAAUCCCUCGGCUUAACCGGGGAACUGCGUCUGAUACUGGAUGGCUUGAGUUUGGGAGAGGGAUGCGGAAUUCCAGGUGUAGCGGUGAAAUGCGUAGAUAUCUGGAGGAACACCGGUGGCGAAGGCGGGUCUCUGGGCAGUAACUGACGCUGAGGAGCGAAAGCGUGGGGAGCGAACAGG
rnacentral:rRNA from 1 species